GCAUAAUCAAUAGUUUUUUAAUUGAAAACUGGGAUGAAAGGUAGAUACUAAAAAGAAAGUUUUAUUAAAUUAGAUUUGAAUUUAAAUUAAAAGUAAAAAUGCUUUUAUUAAUUCUUGGGACGAGAAGACCCUAGAAGCUUAAAAUUUUAAUAUUUUGGAUUGGGGCAAUUGUGGUGAAGAAAGGAAUUUUUAAAUUUUUAUAUUUGGAACAGUAAAAGUUACUCUAGGGAUAACAGCAUUAUUUAGUUAGCGAGUUCUUAUUAAUAACUAAGUUUGUGACCUCGAUGUUGAAUUAAUA
rnacentral:rRNA from 1 species